UACGUAGGGACCAAGCGUUGUCCGGAAUCAUUGGGCGUAAAGAGCGCGUAGGCGGUCCGAUAAGUCGACUGUGAAAGUCUAGGGCUCAACCCUGGAAAGCCGGUCGAUACUGUCGGACUAGAGUCCGGAAGAGGCGAGUGGAAUUCCCGGUGUAGCGGUGAAAUGCGCAGAUAUCGGGAGGAACACCUAUGGCGAAGGCAGCUCGCUGGGACGGUACUGACGCUGAGACGCGAAAGCGUGGGGAGCAAACAGG
rnacentral:rRNA from 1 species